UCUACGGGAGGCAGCAGUGGGGAAUAUUGGACAAUGGGCGAAAGCCUGAUCCAGCCAUGCCGCGUGUGUGAAGAAGGCCUUCGGGUUGUAAAGCACUUUCAGUGGGGAAGAAAGCCUUGGGGCUAAUACCCUCGAGGAAGGACAUCACCCACAGAAGAAGCACCGGCUAACUCCGUGCCAGCAGCCGCGGUAAUACGGAGGGUGCGAGCGUUAAUCGGAAUUACUGGGCGUAAAGCGCGCGUAGGCGGUCUGAUAAGCCGGUUGUGAAAGCCCCGGGCUCAACCUGGGAACGGCAUCCGGAACUGUCAGGCUAGGGUGCAGGAGAGGAAGGUAGAAUUCCCGGUGUAGCGGUGAAAUGCGUAGAGAUCGGGAGGAAUACCAGUGGCGAAGGCGGCCUUCUGGACUGACACUGACGCUGAGGUGCGAAAGCGUGGGUAGCAAACAGGAUUAGAUACCCUAGUAGUC
rnacentral:rRNA from 1 species